UACGAAGGGGGCUAGCGUUGCUCGGAAUCACUGGGCGUGAAGGGUGCGUAGGCGGGUCUUUAAGUCAGAGGUGAAAGCCUGGAGCUCAACUCCAGAACUGCCUUUGAUACUGAGGAUCUCGAGUUCGGGAGAGGUGAGUGGAACUGCGAGUGUAGAGGUGAAAUUCGUAGAUAUUCGCAAGAACACCAGUGGCGAAGGCGGACUCACUGG
rnacentral:rRNA from 1 species